UGUAAGCGUAUACCAAAGUUGUUGCAGUUAAAACGCUCGUAGUCGGAAUUUGGCAGUUCCGGAUGUGUGCACGUCGUGUGCGCACUUCGCGGGGAUUGCUUUUGUGGUCUUGCGUAGGAUGAGGCACUUUUAUUAGUGAACGUCCUCACGCAACCACUUUUUACUGUGAGAAAAUCAGAGUGCUCAAAGCAGGCAUAUGCCGUGAAUGUAUUAGCAUGGAAUAAUAGAAUAGGACUUGGUUCUAUUUUGUUGGUUUGUUGGGACUGAGUAAUGAUUAAGAGGGACAGUUGGGGGCAUUUGUAUUUCGGUGCUAGAGGUGAAAUUCUUAGAUUACCGAAAGACAAACUGCUGCGAAAGCGUCUGCCAAGGAUGUUUUCAUUGA
rnacentral:rRNA from 1 species